AAUUUGGGUUUUUAACUUAGGUUUGGGUGGCGGACGGGUGAGUAACGCGUAAAGAACUUGCCUCACAGCUAGGGACAACAUUUGGAAACGGAUGCUAAUACCUAAUAUUAUGAUAAUAGGGCAUCCUAUAAUUAUGAAAGCUAUAAGCGCUGUGAGAGAGCUUUGCGUCCCAUUAGCUAGUUGGAGAGGUAACGGCUCACCAAGGCGAUGAUGGGUAGCCGGCCUGAGAGGGUGAUCGGCCACAAGGGGACUGAGACACGGCCCUUACUCCUACGGGAGGCAGCAGUGGGGAAUAUUGGACAAUGGACCAAGAGUCUGAUCCAGCAAUUCUGUGUGCACGAUGAAGUUUUUCGGAAUGUAAAGUGCUUUCAGUUGGGAAGAAAUAAAUGACGGUACCAACAGAAGAAGUGACGGCUAAAUACGUGCCAGCAGCCGCGGUAAUACGUAUGUCACGAGCGUUAUCCGGAUUUAUUGG
rnacentral:rRNA from 1 species